GCAACAGCGGGCACUGCUUGGCAAGCACAAGCAGGGCCUGAGCCCCUAAAGCAAACUUUAUGGGAAGUGAAAAAUUCUAAGUGCUUCAAGACUGAAAAGGAGAAAAAUCCACAAAAACAUGAAAAGAAGAGUAAGAGAUGCACAGAUUUACUUAGAGUCAGAGAUAUUUUCAGGCAGAAGCAAACAGAAUGGAACCUAUGGAAGAAAAAAAAUGGUGCUGAAAGCAGUGCCUCACAGGACAGUGUGUGCCUGGUGACACAAAGUGCACCUCUGCUGCCAACACGGUGACCCUGGCUCGGAGCAGCACGCGAGGAACUGCCGACUGCAACAUCUGCAGGGGAACCUUUGCAGUCCUCAGUUCCAUUUCAAAGGGAUGGACAGGAAGGCAAGGACCAGACAACAGCUGCCAUUCACUGCAGAGUCUCUCAUUAAUGAUGGGGCCAUCCUAAAAGAUAAGUGCUUUUUAAUUUUGAGGAUAAUUACAGUUAUUAGCUUUCAA